AUUCCCACAACCAACUUCCAUACCUUAAUUGCAUACUUUUUUUCUUUAUUCCCACAACCAACUUUUGAUCUAUUUGAUCCUAAACAUGGGCUACACACAAUUCUCAUUUCUUCUCUUUCUCUGUUUCUGUCUUCUUUCGUUUUCUUCAUCCAUACCUCAUCCGUGCCGCAAAGAUCAAAGCAUUUCCCUUCUAAAAUUCAAGAAGACCUUUACAAUAGGUCACCCAACUUAUUGUCCAUAUCAGUCAUCAACUUAUCCAAAAACGAGUUCAUGGAACGUGAGCAGAGAUUGCUGCUCAUGGGACGGAGUGACAUGUGAUGAGAUGACUGGCCAUGUCAUUGAGCUUGACCUCAGUCGCAGUCAACUUGUGGUGAAUAUUGAUUCUAAUAGCAGCCUAUUCCAACUCUCUCAUCUCCAAAGGCUUGAUCUUUCUAAGAAUAACUUCUCUAAUUCUCAUAUCUCCCCUGAAUUCGGCAGGUUUUCGACCUUGACGCAUCUUAAUCUUUCUGAUUCCUCUUUCUCAGGUCAAAUUCCUUUUGAAAUCUCUCAUAUUUCCAGGUUACAGUCUCUUCGUUUCUCCACGUCAUAUGUGACUAAUCUAACACUCGCAGCCCAUGAUUUCAAAUUGCUCCUUCAGAACUUGACCCAAUUAACAGAGCUUUAUCUUAGUUAUGUAAACAUCUCUUCCACCAUUCCCCUGAAUUUCUCUUCCCAUUUAACAACUCUAAAGCUGGGAGGGACAGGAUUGUAUGGGAUAAUACCUGAGAGUAUUUUUCACCUGCCCAACCUGGAAACACUUGACUUACAUUACAGUGAUCAGCUCAGCGGUUCUUUUCCAAAGACCAAAUGGAACAGCAGUGCAUCUCUCAUAGAGUUAGAUCUCAUUUCUGUAAAUUUUUCUGGUAAUUUCCUGCCUGAGUCUCUUGGCUAUAUAACCUCACUGCGUAUUUUGUCUCUUGUUAAUUGCAACCUUAGGGGCCUAUUCCUGAAUCUCUUUCAAAUCUCACCAGCUUAGUGUCUUUGGACCUUACAUCGAACACCCUGAAUGGAACAAUACCAUCAUGGAUGUUCUCCCAUCUUCCAUUACUACGUUAUUUAAUCUUGAGUGACAACCACUUUUCUGGUCAGCUUGAGGAUUUCAACUCCAAUUCACUAGUCUGGAUUGAUUUAAGCAAUAAUCAACUGCAAGGCCAUCUUCCCAACUCAAUUCAAAACCUUGUGAACCUAACAGUGCUUUAUCUUUCUUUCAAUAAUUUUAGUGGUCAUGUGGAUGUCAGCCUCUUUUCAAACCUCAAACAUCUUUCAGAUCUUGAUCUUUCUUAGAAUAGUAUCUCAUUGACCAAUGACAACAAAGUUAAUUUUACUUGGCCAGAAACUCUUUUUUUAUUACGAUUUGCCGCAUGUGAAGUGAAGGAAUUGGAGUUUCUAAGAUCCGCUAAGCAGCUUCAGGAAUUGGAUAUUUCAAAUAAUAAGAUUCAAGGAAGGAUUCCUGAUUGGGCAUGGUCUAACUGGAUGUUCUCAUUGUUCACUCUUAAUAUAUCCCACAACAUGCUGACAAGUGUGGUUUCAAUCCCUCUUCAAUAUGUAGAAACCAUUGAUUUGAGGUCCAAUUUGCUUCAAGGUUCACUACCUGUUCCACCAAAUACCUCAAGUAUCUUUUUCAUAUCACAAAAUAAUCUGAGUGGAGAGAUUCCUUCAUCUGUUUGCAAUUCAACAUCACUGCAAAUUCUAGAUUUGUCCAGAAACAAUUUGAGCGGAGAAAUUCCUCAAUGUUUGGGAAACAUCACUGGUCUCGAGGUUUUGGAUAUGCGGCAUAACAACCUUUCUGGGAAUCUUCCUAGAGCUUUCAGCAAUGGAUGAUCACUGACAAGCCUCAACUUGCAUGGAAAUAAACUCGAGGGGAAAAUUCCCCCGAUCUUUGGCCCAUUGCAAAGAGUUGCAGGUUCUUGACUUAGGAGAUAAUCAUCUCGUUGACACGUUCUCCAUGUGGUUGGGAACUCUUCCAAAGCUGCAAGUCUUAAGCUUGAGAUCCAAUGAAUUGCAUGGUUCCAUUAGAACUUCAACAAUUGAAAACAUGUUUCCUAAUCUUCGAAUGUUAGAUCUCUCUUCGAAUGCCUUCACGGAAAACGUACCGAAGAGUCUGUUUCAACAUUUGAAAGCCAUGAGGACAAUUGAUCCAUCAAAGAUGGAGCCAAGUAAUAGGUAUUAUCAAGACACGGUAGCUGUCGUAACAAAGGGAUUGGAGCUUGAAGUUGUGAGAAUCUCGCCUUUGUACACCACUGUAGAUCUUUCAAACAACAAAUUUGAAGGGCAUAUUCCAAGUAUCGUGGGAGAUCUUGUUGCACUUCGCGUGCUGAAUUUAUCUCAUAAUGGUUUGGAAGGUCAUAUACCUCCAUCACUUGGAAAUUUAUCCGUGGUCGAGUCAUUGGACCUAUCAGGUAACCAUCUUGUUGGAGAGAUUCCGGUGCAGUUCUCUUCUCUUACAUAUCUCGAAGUCUUUAAUCUAUCCCACAAUCAUCUCGAAGGGCGCAUUCCUCAAGGAAAUCAAUUCGCUACAUUUGAGAACAGUUCAUAUGAAGGCAAUGAUGGACUACGUGGAUUCCCAGUUUCCAAAGGCUGUGGCGAUGAUCAUGUGUCCAAUACCGUAUCUGAACUAGACGAUCAAGAAGGUGAUUCUGAAUUUCUCAAUGAUUUUUGGAAAGCGGCUCUCAGGGUUAUGGAAGUGGACUAUGUAUUGGAUUAUUCAUCAUAUAUAUGGUCUCAACCAGAAAUCCGAUAUGGCUUGCAAGAAUCGUUUUGAAACUGGAGCACAAAAUUAUUACGAGAAGGAAAAAGAAACAGCGACUUUUAAGGAAUAACAAAAGAAGUAACAAUCGAUUGUAGACAAGUUACUGAUCGAGCAAGAUUUGAUUUCAGAAUUUCAGGUAUUCAAGUUAAUAUAGACAUUGUAAUUUGAUUUAAGUGCAAAAUAAAAGUAAGAUGUAACUUUCUUUGCAGUAAAAAUCAUACAGUAAAUAAACAAAUUUGAAUAUGCAGGUGCUUGGAGGAGCAAUUGGUGGAGUGCUCGAGACGUAAUAAUAUCAGAUGUUAAGGCUUAGGUUGCUGUAUUUGAUUUUUAGUUUCUUUGUAAUAUUACGAAUUUGAUGAUACAUUUAUCAAUUUUGCUUAAGAUUUUAAUGUAUCCGAUCAAUGUGAAGUGUAUGCAUUCUUGUAUUCAUCGCUGCUGUGCUCAAGUUAUGCAACGGAAAAAAAUUAAUGAAAACACAAGAUAUAUAUAGACAGAAAAAAUGGAACUAAGCCAAUCUGAAUCUAUCAAAAGAUCGAGUAUGAGUAUAAAGGUCCCAAGAUAAAACACACUUCAAAGUUUCAAUUCAUUCAAAGAGUAAAAUACCCUGACACAAACAUUGAGAAUAGAUCAUAGGAAAAAAAUUUAGCGUUGCUCCGAGAUUCAACGAUGCAUUAUGCUAAAUUACAAUAAAACAUAUCAACUUUAAUAUCAAUAGGUUUCAAAGCAAAGCGCUGUGAAUGCAUUUCGUGAUGUGCAUAUCAAAAGAAUGUUCUCAUAGGAAUAAAAAAUGUACAAUUGAAACUAAGAGCUUAAGCUAAGGCAAUUGCUAUUUCAUUUUCUUCAAAGAUGAUUACAUGAAUGGAAUGAAAGGCUAUAUGUAUAAGUAGAACUAGAAUAUGUACAAAUAAGGUAAAAUGUAUUGAUUUCUCACUUUAAGGCUUAAGCUAAACGACUUGUUCACCAACAAAUCUCCAUCGAGAAUGAUAUGUUUCAACUAGUUGAAUUUGCAUGUCCGAUAACUGAACUCAUGUAACUCUAUUAGAUGCUCCACGGUCUUAGUGCCGAAUUUGGGUUAAGAAACUAGUAUUUAAUUGAUUAUUGUAUUAAUUAAUUGAGUAUGGAGUUUGUUGAAUAAUCAUCCCCUAUUUAUUAAUCUCUUUGAAAAGUUUGGAGUUAUAUAUAUAUAUAUAUCCUAUCUUAGUGCUUAUAUAAUCGGGUAAGCGAAUGGAUGUUUGGUUCGUCCGAUAAGUGGUGUUAGCAGAUGCCACUCACGUCUAUGAGGUAUUUUGGGACGUGACAUUAAAAAAGGUUACAACCAAGAAAUUUCCAAGGGCCAGUAGCGCCCCGCCCUUGGAAUGCGUGCAUAAUUUGGGGAUUUAAACCUCUCUACCACCACUAGAUAUACAAAUCCACCCUAACAUGAAUGAAAGUUGUGUGAUUGGACACUGCCAAUGCCGCCACUAUUCCAAUGGAGUUUUGAGAUUCAUCAAGCAAAUAAAUAAAUGAGUAUUCGAACUAAAGAUUUUACGCGCAAAUACUCAACACUGUACCAUUUUAAGAAUAAAAACUAUCAACUUAGAUGUUUCACCUUCAAACAAGAAAGGACACUCCGUGUAAAAACUUGACGCUUCAUCUUUAAUGGCUCUUAUGCGAUGUGGAUCCAGAUUAAAUGGGCUUACACGUUGCGAAUACAUAUUAAUUAGGACCCUAAUGUGGAUAUCCGAAACCAAAUGAGAAACUUAAAAAAUAAGCCACGUCUCAUGCGUGUCCAUUCAGGUCCCUCAACAACUCAGUUUCAUAAAAUAAUAAAUUAAGCAAAUAGACCCACAACACGACUAAGUCGUAUCUAAUUUUUGAGAAUGACAUUUCUCUACAUUUUUGAAAUUUUCAUUGCAAGACUUAUGCAUUGACUUCUCCACUUUCUCUUCAGUUGUUAUCGAGCUUACUAUAGGUCAAGGUGGAACUUUGAAUUAAUUAAACUUGUGGAAUACAAAUUUUAGCAUUGACGAAGUCAGUUUUAUUAAUGAACUGAAACCGUAGUCUUGGAGUGACUGGUAAAGUUGCUACCAUGUGACCAGGAGGUCACGGGUUCUCAAGUCUUUGAAACAGUCUCUAGCAAAAAUGCAAGAUAAGGCUGCGUACGAUACACCCUUGUGGUGGGGCCCUUCCCCAGACACCGCGCAUAGCGGUAGCUUUAGUGCACCGGGUUGCCUUUUUUAACAUGUCUUGUACCUUUUGUGAUCAACAUCUAUUGUAUGCUUUUAACUUAAUUAAUGAUAUUUCAAGUGUUAAAGUUGUGACCCAAAUUUUGUUGAUCCAGUCCUAAAAGUUUCGCGGUGCGACCCAUAUUUGUGAUUUUCAAUGGGGUCUGUGGUGGUAGUCUAGGGAUCGGUCUUAGGACCUAUUUGUACGCACGUAUUAUAUAAGUACGAUUUAAUAGGCUAUUUCGAGGAAAUUGAGACUAUUUUCUCCAACAUUGUACUCUCUUUCCAUUAUAGUGAAACCUCCUCUAUCUCUGCCCGUGAUUUUUCGCAUAAGGAUUUUCACGUAAAUCUGUGCUUUCUGUAAUUAAGGAUAACAAGAUACAAAUCUAUAUAUAUAUAUAUAUAUAUGAGCAUUGAACAUUAAGAGUUUACGAGAAAAUCAGUGCAAUUACUUGACAAUUCAAAGAAUUGCAUUAAUACUUUUAGCUGUGAGAAAAAGAUAGUUGAAGUCACACCACUAAUAUAUUUUCCACAAGAAAAGGACUCUUUCUCUACUUUUUUUUGUCUACUUAAUGUGUUUUUUUCUUUUGAAAUUUCCAUAGCACGCCAAGACUUGCCAUUAACUUGCAAAUUAAUAGCAAAUAUUUUCCUAUUUCUUUACAAAUUUACUAUAGGUCAAAGGUGGAAUUUGAAAAUAAUUACAUUGUGGAAUAAAAUUAUAAGCAUUGAUAAAAUCAAUUUUAUACUAAUGAGUUGAGACCGUGUUAUUUGAUAUGUCAACAAAAUGCACAAAGACGAAGUCAUGAUCCUUGGACAUCUAGAGGAAAGAUUAUCCAAAUUAAAAUGAAAAAUCAAGUACCUAGAAGUAGGGUCUAAGAAAGGUACGUAGAAUGUAUGCAGAACUAUUCAAACUUUAAGAUGCACCUAUAGUUUAUGAAAUUUUAUAGGGCGCACUACGAAAUGCUUGUAAACAUUCAAUACAUUUUUACCAAAUACAUUAAUUAUUGUUUAUUUGUUUGAACGCUUUAUUCAAAUGCGUAACUACCUAUUCAUAAACAUAAUCUUUAGCAUCUAAAAGUGUUUUUCAACACUUCUUACUCAUCAAGUUUUUUUAAUCAGCUAACCUAAGUAGACUCUAAAUAUAUUAACUCGAUUUCUGAAAGUGCUUGGUUGAUGUUUUUCUUUCACAAUACUUUUUCAGAAUUGUAGGGUACACCAUCUAGCUCAAAAGUAAAGCAAAGAGUUGAGUUGGUGGCUUACCAUAAUGUUUUGAAGCCUUUGAAUUAAGUAUUAAGUUUGAUUAUGGGACUAUCACGUUUUCAGUUUAUCUUCCGCACUUUUAUUUCAUAUAAGUUAUGCUUAUGAUUACAUGCUAAGGGGUCUCUCGGGCCAUAAUGAUUCAGGAUGUCUGUCACGGUUAGGGCGUCAGUUGGGGUCGUGACAUGAACAGUAAAGAAACAGUACAUUUGACAUUUUCUAAAUCAAACUUGGAAUUGAUUGAUGAUUGAUAUAAAGGCAGCAGUGCUUACUUGACUUUAAUUUCCCCUAUCCUCUUUCUUCUGAUAAUAAAAUUCAUAUGUGAUUUAUUUCAGUAUCAAAAUUCAAAGUGAAAUGGAGUUGUCUGUUUGGUAGCUUUCAUUGAAAUUUUCACAACAAGAGUCACUGGAAUUACUUGAAAAAUCAAAGAACUGCAUUUAUAUUAUUAGUUGCAUGAUAAAAGAUAUUUUGAGGAACACUCCAUGGAAAUCUAAUAUGGUAGAUUUCAUUUAAAAUUUUCAUGGCAAGAAUUGUGCUAGGACUUGGAAAAUCUUUACUUACGCUUUUAUAUAAAAGCAAGUUUGAGGUUGAUAAUUCCACUUUCGUUUUGAUUUUUAUAAUUUUGCAUUAUUUAAGCAUCCUCAUUUGUAAUAUCAUUAUAAAGUAUAUUACAAACUCUGUGACGAUCAUAGAAUACCUAAUUCUCUCUAGCUCUUGUAUUUUUCAUUACCUUGUUAGGAUUGGUAAGGUACGGUCUAGCCCUCCGUGCUUGUAUUAUGAAACACACAGAUCUUAUCAAUAGUUCGCAGUAACUUGGACUAGUCUAACUAUUAUGUUCCUUAAUUCCCACAACCAACUUCCAUACCUUAAUUACAUACUUUUUUCUUAAUUCCCACAACCAACUUUUGAACUAUUUGAUCCUAAACAUAACAUGGGCAUAAUAAGAUUGAAGGAAGAAUUCCUGGUUGGGCAUGGUCUAACUGGAUGUUCUCACUGCGCAGUCUCUGUUUAUCCCACAACAUGCUGACAAGUGUUGAUUCAAUUCCUCUUCAGUAUGUAGAUACCAUUGAUUUGAGGUCGAAUUUGCUUCAAGGUUCGCUACCUAUUCCACCAAAUUCUACAACAUAUUUCUUCAUAUCAGAAAAUAAUCUUAGUGAAGAAAUUCCUUGCAAUUUGACUUCACUGGGGAUUCUUGAUUUGGGAAGAAGAGAAAUUCCUCAAUGUUUGGGAAAUAUCACUGCCCUCGAGGUUUUGGAUAUGCGCCACAACAAUCUUUCUGGGAAUAUUACAACAACUUUCAUCAGCCUCAACUUGCAUGGCAAUAAAUUCCCCGAUCUUUGGCCCAUUGCAAAGAGUUGCAGGUUCUUGACUUGGGAGAUAAUCAUCUCGUUGACACGUUCCCCAUGUGGUUGGGAACUCAGAUCCAAUGGAUUGCAUGGGUCCAUUCAACCUUCAACGAUGGAAACUAUUUUUCCCGAGCUUCGAAUCAUAGAUCUCUCGCAGAAUGCCUUCUCGGGAAACUUACCUACGAGUCUGUUUCAACAUCUGAAAGCCAUUUGAGAACAAUUCAUAUGAAGGCAAUGAUGGAUUACGUGGAUUCCCAGUUUCCAAAGGCUGUGGGAAAUGAUCAUGAGUUCUAUAACGUAUCUGGACUAGACGAUCAAGAAGGUGAUUCUGAAUUUCUCAAUGAAAAAACAUUUACCCUGACACAAAC
rnacentral:lncRNA from 1 species